rnacentral:lncRNA from 1 species
UUUUUUUUUUUUGCUGAAUAGAUGUGCAAACAAGUAUAAAUGACUUGGCAACCAUUUUUCUUUUUUUUUUUUUUUUGAAAACUAAAAAAAUUUUUUUAAGAUUUUAUUUAUUUGUUUGUUUAUAUAUGUAUGUAUGUAUGUAUUUAUUUGACACAGAGAGAGAGAGAGAGAGCACAAGCAAGAGGAGUGGCAGGCAGAGGAAGAGGGAGAAGCAGGCUCUCCACUGAACAGCGAGCCCGACAUGGGGCUCGAUCCCAGGACCCAGGGAUCAUGACCUAAGCCAAAGGCAGAUGCUCAACCACUGAGCCACCCAGGUGCCCCAGCAACCAUAUUUCAAUGUCAUUUGCCUUAUGCCUCACAAAUGGCUCCAUAAUUUUAAAGCCAGACAUUUCCCACGUGUGUUCUAAAGCUGGGUUCUCCUGGAGUUAUUUGUUCCAGGGAAUCAUUGGUUGAUCAGAGGGGAGCUUAACUUCCAACUCAUCAUCAUUAUGUGCUGUAGAGGUUUUAUUUAUAUCUUCUUAGGAAACAGAAAAUCUUAUUCUGUUAUCUUAUUAUUAUACCACAAUAUUUUAGAAAACAUCAAAGAAUUUUAUAAGCAGUUUAGAUAUACUCCUAAUAUUUUACCACAAUGGCCUAAUGGGCCUAGGAUUUAAGGUAACUUACUAGUUACUAAAACAAUAACCACAGAAUGUUGAGCUGACAUUCAGAUGAGCCCUCUGUCCUCUUUUUCAUAUUUUAUUAAGCACAAUAACUACACAAAAAUCACCAAGCCAGAAAAGAUAAAAGGUAUCCCCUAUGUGCUCUGAAUUAUUCAUAACUUCCAAAGAAAUAUAACGCUAAAUCGUAAUACUCUAUGUCAACUGAAUUCCCACUAAGCAUCUAGCUUCUGAUAUUUCAAGAUGCAAUACAUAUCCCAUCUUGACAUCUCACUAUACCAUUUUCACAACAGACCAAAGUUGAUGUAGAAAUGUUUUCGUUCAUUCAUUUCAUGGAAUUCUUCAGUGGUAAAUCGUGGUCAGCUCAGGUUAGGCAGUGUGGAAAAAUUAAGAUGUGCUUUAGGUCCAAAGCUUGCCUUCAGGGAGCAUAUAGUGUAUAAGGGAGAAAUGUACAGCAAUAAUCACACUCCAAAGUGAAGUCUAGGGAGCUCUAUAUGAAUUAUAUACAUAAUAGGAGCUAUUAGAGCUCACAGAUGGAAGAGAUAAAAUAAGAAUGGUCAAAAUGGCAAAGAUAUAAAACAUUUGCACGAAAAACCAUUUCUUCACCAUUGUGCAAAAAUAGUCCAGCUGUAUUUAAAUAUGCAACUCUCUGGUGUCCACAAUUUCCCGUUCCUGUGUUUAGACUAGGAGGGGAAAGAAAAGCUAUUUAAAGUCCUUCACAUGCAAUUCUGACCCAUCAGAUAUAUUUCCCCCAUUCGAAGCUUACUGCUGGGCUCACACCCCUUGAGGACAUUGAAAAAGGUGAACAACCCGCUGAACAGGGAAUAUAGGUGUGUGGGCCCUCAGGCAGCACAACAUUGAUAAGAGCUUCUGUCUACCUACCAGAGUCUCUCCCUAAGACACAAUCAGUAAUGCAGGAAGGGGUUGGUGGGUAACCACAUGGGCCUCUCAUCCAACCACCAACCAAUCAACCAAUCGACCAACCAAAUGUGGAAAAGAGAGCCCAGUCUGGCAGCUGUGGUCAGUUCUGCUUGCAUAAAACUAGUGUGACUGACCAGCAAAAUUGCAUUGCCUAUGUGUGGCACUCAAACACGUGGGAUAAACGUUCACUGUGGUGAGUGUUUACUAGCUCCAAACUAGCCCUUCUGCUCUCUCUCUUGUUUUGGGCGACAUUUUUUCAAGGUAGGCUUUCGGAGGCAUUAUUAGACAGACCUCUGGCUGCUAUUUUUACACUGCUCUGCAUGAGCUACGGUCCCCGACAGAGAUGUGAACACACAUUCUUCUUUAUUGGAGAGGAUGCCACCCCAAAACAAGGCUGGGCUUACUCCUUUGUGACCCCAUGACGCCACUUUACUAACAACUCCACAAGCAGCUGUUACUAAUGCUAAUGAAAGGUAGUGUAAGGAGAGAGUCUCAUGAGUCCCAUACAGCUGCCAUUUUUAGGAUGGUGAGGACACAAAAUGGGAUCUGUGCAUGGGUAUGCCCUGUAAAGAAUAGUUCCAAAAAGGUAAGAAAUAACAACAGUUAGCAAAGAUGUGGAGAAAGAGGAACCCUCAUGCACUAUUUUUUUCCUUCACGCACUAUUGGUGAGAAUGUAAAUUGGUAUGGCCACUAUGGAAAACAGUAUGGAGUUUCCUCAAAAAAUUUAAAAUAGGGAUCCCUGGGUGGUGCAGCGGUUUGGCGCCUGCCUUUGGCCCAGGGCGCGAUCCUGGAGACCCGGGAUCGAUUCCCACGUCGGGCUCCCGGUGCAUGGAGCCUGCUUCUCCCUCUGCCUGUGUCUCUGCCUCUCUCUCUCUCUCUCACUGUGUGCCUAACAUAAAAAAAAAAAAUUUUAAAAUAGAAAUACUAUAUGACUAGUACUUCUACUACUGGGUAUCUGCCCAAAGCAAACAAAAAUACUAAUUCAAAAGGAUAUAUGCACCCCUAUGUUUACUGCAGCACUAUUUACAAUAGCCAAGAUAUGACAGGAACCCAAGUGUCCUUUGAUAGAUGAAUGGAUAAAGAAGAUGUGGUAUAUACACACACACACACACACACACACACACACAUAUGCAAUGGAAUAUUACUUUGCCAUAAAAAGAAUGAGACCUGGCCAUCUUUGACAACAUGGAUGGAACUAGAGGAUAUUAUGCUAAAUGAAAUGUUAGACAAAAAUGACUGCCAUAUUUCACUUAUAUGUAAAAUCUAAAAAAACAAAACUAACAAAGAAAAAGCAAACAGAAAUCAUUAAUACAAGGAACAAACUAGUGGUUGCCAGAAGGGAGUGUGUAGGAGAAUGGACCAAAUAGAUGAAGGGGUUUAAGAGGUACAAAUUUCCAGUGCUAAGAUAGGUAAGUCAUGGAGAUGAAAAGUAACACAGAUAAUAUAGUUGAUAAUAUUGUAAUAACAUUGUCUGGUGGCAGAUGGUAACCACACUUAUCCUGGUGAACACUGAGUAAUGUAUAGAAGUGUCCAAUCGCUGUAUUACAUACCCAAAACCAAUAUAACAUUGUAUGUCAACUCUACUUCAAUAAAGAAAAAAAAAUGAGUUGAGCACUGUCUGUACCUUUCUCCAUAGAUCUCCCAGCCAAACUGACUACAUAAAAACACCUUUUAAAAAAAAAUCAAAAACCAAAAUGGAAAAAUAUGCCUAUGGGAACUGUAAAAAAUUGGAGGAAAGCGAACCCUAAAGCCUCCUCCUCUAGUCUACCAAGGAUCCAAGAAGGUUAUAAUAAGGGAAGCAUCAGGACAGUAGUUGGUGAGGUGAACACUACAUCACCAUGGCCCCUCCACCGCCAUGUGUUGCAUACGCCCCUCGGACAGCACCACCAGGCAUGGCUUUGGCUUUCUUCCCCCCUCCACCCCCCAAUGCCAGGUCAUGGUUAGUGCCAGUCCUAGAUUUAAAAUCAAAAUGAAAGGCAGAGGCACUGAAAGCUCCCAACUUGGCUUUUCAGACAAAAGCAAAAGUUAAAAGCAGCCCCAUUAACAUCAGUAAAAGCAGCUGUUUUUGAUUUAGAGGCAAAAAUAACUCCAAAAGCAUUAGCAAAAAUGUCAAAACAAACGACAUCCAUAUCUACUAAGAUGUUUGAACUUAACGCACAAAAGCCAGAUCCCUUGUUUAUGGUCUGUCUGAGGAGCAAGUCUUGGGUGACAAAAGCACUGUGCGUUUGUGUGCAAGCAUCUACUUGGCAGCAGUUCUGACUGGCCGUCCUUGGUUGGUAUGUGUUCUUCUAAUCUGUUCCUUUUACCCAUCUGAUGGGCUGUGGCAAUGCCAGGACUACGUUCUCCUUAUCAUGUAUUUUUUAUCUACAUUCUGUUUUCAAAAAUCCCUUGUCAAUCUUAACGUUGUGAUAAUGUAUUUUUUAACAGCAGACAUUUUAAGUACUAUAUACAUAUAUCUACACACAUGUAUAUGUACAUGUAAAGACACACAUAUUCUUUCUUCUUUUCUUAACAUAUGCGUAGUGUAGGACAAAUCCCUUAACCCAAAAAAUGUGUGGCAAUUACUGCUGACACCUUCCCCGGUCUACUGGGGCUGGGUGGUUGUGGGGCACUACAGAGAGGAAAUCUGUUUACAUGCCUCCUUCUUGAUAAUGGACCAAGGGCCAGUUCAGAAAACUUGCCCCGAAGCUUUGAAAUAUGUGUGAAAAUGCCAAGUGCUUGCCAAGAGCUGCAAAAUGAAAACAAGGCAGGAUGCAAGUAAGCAGAACAAGCUAUUUUAGCCAUAGGGCUGGAUUCAAAACCUGUAGAAGAGGCCCUCCAAUGUGUGGUGCAACCUCAUAAUUCUCAGGGAUCUCCAGCCAGACUUCGCUCCGAGUUCCAGACUCCUGUGUCUACCUGUCUUUGCUGCUGGGCUGACCCAGAACUCCCGAAUUCACAGACCCAAACUGGACCUUGUGAUUAUCCUGCCAAGGGCUGCUCAUCCCCUCCCCUGCCUUCCUUAUUAAAAUAAGGAAAGGACACCUCCAUUCUCCCUCUCAGCCCCCCUACAUCCCAACAUUACACUCAGCUCCAGCUUCAAAAUCCACCUUCAAUGCACCCUCACCUCUCAUCUGCAUGGGAUGGGAAACGGCCUCCCUGACUCAGCUCUUGCCUCUCCCUUCAAUGCUCUCAAGGGCAGCCACAGAAAUAUUUUUAAAAUGUCAAUCAGAUCAGGCUACUCUCCAGCUCAGGGCUCUUUUAUCUACUGCUCUGAUUCCAGGGCUGGAGCAGGGAAAGGACAGGACGAGCCUGGACAGAAAGUAUUGUGACAGAAGUAACAUGUGGUCAAAGAGUAAUGGGAACAUGUCAAAAACCAGCUCAAAGGGGCUCUUGGGUCAGUCUGAGUGCCAAAAAUAUAAUUAUAACCUAUGGAAUAAAUGAGGAAUCUGUGACUCAAACUGAUCCGAAGGAAGGAAGGAAGGAAGGAGAAGGAAAGCUCCUCCUUCAAGUAGAUGGCCAACUAAUACAUGUGUAAGGGAUGAAGGAACUCCAACCUUAGCAUUUGGCUACCACCAGAGUAAUGACUAUUUUAAGCGAGAAGCAUCUAGUGAGUGAGCAUCUACUAGUGAGUGAAUGCUUGAUGAGAAACAAUAUACUUAUCUUGCCUCAAAAUAUCUUUUAAUACUUAUUAAGAGGAAAAGAACAGUUCAGUGGAGAAAGCUGGCAACACUGCUUUAACCAAGUGGUCAAAGUUAACAUCAUUAGUAAUAGGACUCAUCAACAGCAUGGUCUUGAUAUGUUACAUCACGGUGUAUUCCUGCCAAAGCUACACAAUCUGAAUCUAAUCAUUAGCAGAUAUCAGCAAACCCCAAUGAAGGGUCAUUCUAUAAAGUAAAAGGCAUGUGAUCUUCCACAAUGUCUAGGUCAUGAAAAAGGAGGAACUGUCCCGGAUGGGAGAGACAACUAGACUCUAGACUCAUCAGGGACAUUAGAGGGAAAAUCUGCAACAUUUUAAAGGGCCCUGAGGAUUAGAAGGAAAGCCUGCACCAAGGUUAACUGCCUGAUUUUGAUGACUGUCCAGCCUGGAUAUACAGGAAAGGGUCCUUCAGCACCAGAUCAGCAACUUAUCUUCAAAUGCAUUAAUAAAAUAAAAUAAAAUAGUAAAUAGUAAUAAAAAUAGUAAAUAGUAAUAAAAAUAAAAUAAAUAGUAAUACGGAUAUAAAUAGAGUGUGAUGAGGCAAGGGUGAUAAAAUAUGAACGGGAAUUCUUAGCGAAGGGUAUACAAAAGCUGUACUGUACUGCUGUACUGUUCUCGCAACUUUUCUCCAAGUUUGAAAUGCUUAGAAUAAAAAGGUUAAAUAGACACACCUUCAUUGUCUUCCUGUUAUCCUGAGGACAAAUGCUACUAAAAAGCAACAUCGGGGACACUUAGGUGGCUCAGUGGUUGAGCAUCUGCCUUCAGCUCAGGGCGUUGAUCCUGGAGUCCUCCCC